rnacentral:misc_RNA from 1 species
AAACUGUACGAUCGUAUGCGUGGCACCAGUGAAGUGUGAAGUGUUCCGAUUUGACCCCGCACUUGCCUGGCAGUUUUCAUGUAUUUACCACUUUCUAAUAAGAAACGUUUAUUAAAAUCGGAAAAUGUCUACAGACGUUUAUGAGAGUGUCUUGUGCGUCAAGCCAGAGGUUCAAGUUUUCUCAAGAAUUCCGCCCAGAUCAAGUAACAGAGGCUUCCGAGCAUCUGAAUGGAAGUUAGACAGUCCAGACUGGACCGGGCGGCUUCGGAUCGUCGCUCGAGGAAAAGAUUGCAUCAUCAAACUGGAAGACAAAGCAGGUGAAUUGUUUGCUGAAGCACCUAUAGAAGCCUACCCCAGUAUAGCAGUGGAGGCGGUGCUAGAUUCCAGUCGCUAUUUUGUCAUCAGGAUAUCAGACGGAGGUCGAAAGGCAUUUGUAGGCAUCGGUUUUACAGAUAGAGGCGAUUCGUUUGACUUCAAUGUAGCACUGCAAGACCAUUUCAAGUGGAUCAAGCAAUCUAAAGAAAUAGAAGAACAAGAAAAAAGUGCAGCGAAAAACCCGGGUCCGAAACUCGACCUUGGCUUCAAAGAAGGCCAGACUAUCAAAAUCAACAUCGGGGGCAAGAAAACAGGUGCAACAUCAUCCGCAAGACCCAGGAGUACAGGGGGCGGCGUGGCAGCCCCAGGACUCCUUCCCCCACCCCCAGGGGUCAAAAUCCCCACCCUAACCCCACCGGGUCAAAGUGCAACGGUACCCCAGUCAUCAGCAGGGGGACAGAAUGUUCUAGGGGGCUUCGCUCCCCCGCCCACGCAGCAACAGCAGCAGCCGAUAUCCAACAAUAGUUUUGGCUUUACAGGUGGCAAUAACCAACCGCAGAGCAAUUUUGACCUACUAGGAGAUUUUGGAGGGGCACCCAUGUCACAACCCGCCACGCAACCCAUGACACAACCCCAGACACAGCAGCCCCAGGGGUCAACAGACUGGGGGGAUUUUACGAGUGCACAAACUGGAAGCGAUAACCCUGGCUGGGUGACAUUCUGAGACCACAGCGAUAGCCAAUCAGAAACAAGAUAACAAAGUAGUUGGAGCAGCUCAACCAAUCACCUUAGCCUCUGUCACCCCCAAGUAGGCAAUAGAGUUACGCGAUUGGUCAGGAAGGAUCCCUGUGGGAGGAGCCAAAGCUUCCAUGGUAACUAGCAUUAUAAACCCCUCAUCCAAUCAAAUCUGUCGUUACUGACAGGUUUGGUACACUAGCUCCAGUAACGCGAGAUGUUAUUGGCCAGAGCAGAUUUAUAUACAAGAAUCUGUCCCAAUUGAUGUCUAUAUUUAUUAGGAAUGGUUGAUUGGUGUAAAGUUUUGUGUCAUUUAUCGCAAGAAAAAAAGGCCACAGUACAAAAAUACCUUUGCGAAGUGAAAUAUUGUACAAAAUGUAACAUAACUGGAGGAUGAUACAGAAACACGUAGGCUUUUUUUUAGUUUCCAAAGAAAUCAGACUUUAUCAAGAAACUUUUGCAAAAAAAAAUCACUCAGUCUAUAGAGGAACUCAUGGCCAAUCGUCAUGUGAUUUUCUUUUAAUAAAAAGCAAACCAACGCUAAAACGUAAUCCAUUUAAGUGGCAAAUUUAAUGAGAAGCUUAAACUACAUUCCAUUUUUUCAAACCACAUUGUCUCUGACUCAUGUAGGCUGCAGUAGCCAAUAAAAACAGUUCGUUCAUGACACAUGACUAUUUGCAUAGAAAGGCCAUGAUGGUUUGGCCAAUGGAAGCACAUAUCUAGAUCAUGAAUAUGUAUGAUGUACAGCAUAAACAAAUAAUAUCAAAACCAUAUCCUGCCAACCAUGGCAGUUUGGCCAAUGGCAGCAUAUUACUAGAUCAUGAAUAUGUAUGAGGUACAUGUGCAGCAUAAAGAAAUAUAUACCCACAUCAGUCCAUGUGAAUGUGUCCAAUGACAAUGCUUAGCUAGAUCAUGAAUAUGUAUGACGUUUGGUAUUCAUUCAUACUUAACUCAUCCACUCAUACACAAGCCAUACAAAUUGUAUAUAUUUGAAGCCGAAGUUGGGUGAAAGUUUGAAGCUAUGUAUACAUGUAAGAUAACAGAGAGAAUUCACAUUAUAUAAGGGAAGACUGUUUUGUGAAAAGUAGAGAAAUGAAUUUGAGAAAAGGGAAAGUAUUCACACGUCUUCGUGCACGUUAUCAAUUUCACGGCACCCAUUAUUUUGUGUGGCAGUCACUAUAUAAGAAUAAACCAUUUGUAAUCAUUUGUACUCCAAACUUUGUUUGGCAAAAUGUUUCACUGCCCAAUGGUAACAACUACAAUUUUCUUUCUACAUCAGACACGGUGAAUAUUACAAAGUAUAAACGAAUCAGGCAGCAGCCAUUUUGUACGGUUUUGCAAGGCUUGCGCGAGUCGCGCUCAGGUACCGUAGUACGCACGCACUUCGGGCUCCUUCGGCCAAUAGGAAUACCAAAAUGCGCGUGCGCCUCGUCUUUAAGAACGCGUGCAGCAUGUGUGUGAGCGUGACACCACCGCAGUAAAAGCUUCUAAUUCUGGUCGCUGGAUUCCACUUUUGCCUCCCGAAACAAAGACAGCUAGUUUGACAAACGUAUAGCAUUUCAUUGAAUGGUUGUUACAUUUGACGGCAUCAAGUGCAUCCAUCACUGCAUAAAAGUGGGCCCACAAUGCAAUAGGUUCUACCACGUCUUUCAGUUUGUGGCCCAUGAUCACAAUGGCAAGCCUGCUAAGGCUGCUUCCAGAAUGCACAUUUUAUUCAAUGGAUUCAGUGUGGUAAGUCUACAUCAAGUCUUAAGAUGGAAUUUGCUUUGGGCUGAUGUAAAUUCAACAUUGGGUUUUGCCCUUCA